rnacentral:sRNA from 1 species
GCUGGGUGUGGUGGCAUACGCCUGUAAUCCCAGUGAUUCUGGAGGCUGAGGCAGGAGGAUCACAGGUUUGAAGCCAGCCUCAGCAACUUAGUGAGCCCCUAAGCAACUUAGUGAGACUCUGUCUCAA